rnacentral:misc_RNA from 1 species
GAAAUGCGAUAAGUAGUGUGAAUUGCAGAAUUUAGCGAAUCAUCGAAUCUUUGAACGCACAUUGCGCCCCUUGGUAUUCCAUGGGGCAUGCCUGUUCGAGCGUCAUUUCAACCCUCAAGCACUGCUUGGUGUUGGGCGUUUGUCCCGCCUACGCGCGUGGACUCGCCUCAAAGUCAUUGGCGGCUAUUCCCCUUCGGCUCGUAAGCGCAGCACAGUCGGCGCCUGGAGCUCUGGUGGGAUGGCGUCCAGCAAGCUAUAUUUUCAGGCUUGACCUCGGAUCAGGUAGGGAUACCCGCUGAACUUAAGC